GAUGAACGCUAGCGGCAGGCUUAACACAUGCAAGUCGAGGGGUAGAAGGAGCUUGCUCCUUUGAGACCGGCGCACGGGUGCGUAACGCGUAUGCAAUCUACCUUUUGCAGAGGAUAGCCCAGAGAAAUUUGGAUUAAUACCUCAUAGUAUGUGAGGAUGGCAUCAUUUUCACAUUAAAGUCACAACGGCAAAAGAUGAGCAUGCGUCCCAUUAGCUAGUUGGUAAGUAACGGCUUACCAAGGCUACGAUGGGUAGGGGUCCUGAGAGGGAGAUCCCCCACACUGGUACUGAGACACGGACCAGACUCCUACGGGAGGCAGCAGUGAGGAAUAUUGGACAAUGGGCGCAAGCCUGAUCCAGCCA
rnacentral:rRNA from 1 species